UAGGAAAAUUAUUAUCUGGGGAUAUUAUUUCUUCUGUCAAAACAAUUGAUUUAAUAGUGAGAUUUUAUAUAAUUAAAUUCCAUUGGAUCAAAGCUAUGGUAUUAUAUAACUUUCUUUGAACUUGAUUAAACAAUAUACAGGUAUAAGACUCAGAUCGGAGAUAACAUAUCGACUGACUUCUCUACUGAAAUUGAAGUUUUGAGGAAGAAAACUUCAAAUAUUGAUUUGUCAUUUAUUCAUCAUGUGAUGCAAGAGAGAGGCAGAAAAGAGUAAUUGAAGAAUUAGGUCUCUGCUUCACUUCUAAUUCUCUUUCUUUUGAGGAGUUUGCCUGUCUCACGAAAAUCUUUGAAGAAGCCAAAGCGCCCUCAUAGCAGGCAGGACUCAUGUUGACAACUUUGAGAGAUUUUAUUGUCAUUCCAGAAUGGAUCUAAGGUUAGCAUGAAAACUACGAGGGGCUGAGCAGAAAGGCAGUCCACCCGCUGUCAUUGCUUCUUACUGAGAACUACAUAUCUCAUUCCUGCAUGCCGUAGGUGAACCGGCCAAUCCUCUAGUGAUGUGGCUGUAGCAGUCUUGAAGUCCUCUUGUUUCAUGCUCACUGUACAUGUAUAUCUCUAAAUAUUGUUGAGGGUUGUAGAGCCUUCCUUCAACCCUAGGGGGGCCUCAUUGCUA
rnacentral:lncRNA from 1 species